rnacentral:ncRNA from 1 species
AUAUCUAACUAGGGGUGCCUUUUAGGCUGAGAAAUGAUAAAUUCAUUAACCCUUCGAACCUGAUGUAGUUUAUACUACCGUAGGAAAGUUACUUUUGUGUUUA